AGUGAACGCUGGCGGUAGGCCUAACACAUGCAAGUCGAACGGCAGCACAGUAAGAGCUUGCUCUUACGGGUGGCGAGUGGCGGACGGGUGAGGAAUACAUCGGAAUCUACUUUUUCGUGGGGGAUAACGUAGGGAAACUUACGCUAAUACCGCAUACGACCCACGGGUGAAAGCAGGGGAUCUUCGUACCUUGCGCGAUUGAAUGAGCCGAUGUCGGAUUAGCUAGUUGGCGGGGUAAAGGCCCACCAAGGCGACGAUCCGUAGCUGGUCUGAGAGGAUGAUCAGCCACACUGGAACUGAGACACGGUCCAGACUCCUACGGGAGGCAGCAGUGGGGAAUAUUGGACAAUGGGCGCAAGCCUGAUCCAGCCAUACCGCGUGGGUGAAGAAGGCCUUCGGGUUGUAAAGCCCUUUUGUUGGGAAAGAAAAGCAGCAGGUUAAUACCCCGAUGUUCUGACGGUACCCAAAGAAUAAGCACCGGCUAACUUCGUG
rnacentral:rRNA from 1 species